UUUCAGAGUACAUUUCAAGAACGACAACACACGAAAGAUGCAGCUUGCCAAACAGAUGGUCUGAGUGUGGCAUCCCGGGGGACACAACUGUCUCAUAAGACAUUAAGACCUCACAUAUCAUUCAAGGGUACAAGGUUGUAUCUUUCAGCCACAACGGAAGACAGCCAAGGGGAAACUAAUGUCCAGACGUCUGUUCCCAAAGGCCAAAAGGGGAGGUUACACCGUCAAACAAGUGAAGACAGAGCCAACAAUUUGCUAUGUCUUAGACCGGAUGAGACUGGUGUUUGAGGAGAUCAUCCAUGACCCCCUUCCUUAUCUG